CAGCAGCCGCGGGAAUACAGAGGGUGCGAGCGUUAAUCGGAUUUACUGGGCGUAAAGCGUGCGUAGGCGGCUUUUUAAGUCGGAUGUGAAAUCCCUGAGCUUAACUUAGGAAUUGCAUUCGAUACUGGGAAGCUAGAGUAUGGGAGAGGAUGGUAGAAUUCCAGGUGUAGCGGUGAAAUGCGUAGAGAUCUGGAGGAAUACCGAUGGCGAAGGCAGCCAUCUGGCCUAAUACUGACGCUGAGGUACGAAAGCAUGGGGAGCAAACAGGAUUAGAUACCCGAGUAGUCCCUGUCUCUUAUCC
rnacentral:rRNA from 1 species